GACGAACGCUGGCGGCGUGCUUAACACAUGCAAGUCGAACGGAAAGGCCCUGCUUUUGUGGGGUGCUCGAGUGGCGAACGGGUGAGUAACACGUGAGUAACCUGCCCUUGACUUUGGGAUAACUUCAGGAAACUGGGGCUAAUACCGGAUAGGAGCUCCUGCUGCAUGGUGGGGGUUGGAAAGUUUCGGCGGUUGGGGAUGGACUCGCGGCUUAUCAGCUUGUUGGUGGGGUAGUGGCUUACCAAGGCUUUGACGGGUAGCCGGCCUGAGAGGGUGACCGGCCAAAUUGGGACUGAGAUACGGCCAAGACUGCUACGGGAGGCAGAAGGGGGGAAUAUUGCACAAUGGGCGGAAGCCUGAUGCAGCAACGCCGCGUGCGGGAUGACGGCCUUCGGGUUGUAAACCGCUUUCGCCUGUGACGAAGCGUGAGUGACGGUAAUGGGUAAAGAAGCACCGGCUAACUACGUG
rnacentral:rRNA from 1 species